rnacentral:lncRNA from 1 species
AGGUUGAGCUGUGAUGGGCGAUGAAGUGUUGCUGAGUGGAGUUUUUGUCGAACUUAAAGUAGGCUCAGAAAGGAUACAUGUCUUCAUACAUGUAUCUCAGUUAUGCAUUCCGCUAUAAUCACUGAUUAUUUCAGUUACGCCUUCCGUUGCAAACUCUGAUAAUGUUUUAGCCAAGCCCCUAACGAUGCCUUUUUCCUUUUAAGGAAUAUAACGC